rnacentral:lncRNA from 1 species
GACUAAGGCUAUUGAUUUCAGAGUUUUAUCGAACAAAAACUUAUAGUUUUAUUAUCGGUUACAAGGUGUUCCCGUCUGUUAUUUUAAGUUGAUUCAACUGAACAUGUUUAUAUAGUUUUUGUUCCCAAUGAAUAAGAUGUUUAAAAACAUGAGCAAAAAUAUCAUUGCUAUUAUGAAACUUCGUUCAUCCUGUAUUUUUUGCAAGUUUUAUGCAGGUUUAAGUGGCCACUAAUUAUAUAGUGAUGCUCUCGAGGACCGCUGACGGACCAGACCCAGGCCCACCUGACUACAUUUUGACAGCAUCUUUGCCAACGCCCACGAGUCUGAUGACCUUUGUUAUGGUGUCAUAUCAGCUUAAUUUUUUUUCUUUAAACAAAAUACUUGGGAUGAACUGCCAUAAUAUGCUAAUUGAAAAGGUCUUUGACUCAUUUUUCUUGCUUCAGCUUGAGUUGAAAAUGAAUUUUUCAAUUUUAUUUUAGUGUCUGUUUCAUCCAUUAAAAAGCGAAAUCCAAUCCGAAAAUAUUGUAAAGACUUGAAUUGUUGAAAAUUAAAAUUUUAGUUCUCAACAAGAGUAGAGAAGAUUUGGGUACCAUUAUAGUACCAUGAUCUCACAAAUAAACAAACAUUGACAUAAAGACAAUAACCGGUAGUUCCAUGGUUUACUUGAGAUUAGCGAGUUACUAGUUGGAAUUGUUAAUUUUUGGUAUGCGCAAGUAAAAUUUUUAUAUUUUGAUAGCCUUUGUAUAAUCACUACAUUUGCAUGUUUUCCAGAAACAUUUGGAACAUGUUGCAAUUGUACCCCAGUAGAUUAUUAUUUUAUUGAUAUUUUUCAAAGUCAAUCAAAAGUUCAAGAGUUACGUGGAUUCAGUCUAACAAAUGUGGCACACAAAAAAUGUGCUCAUGCAUUUCGUUUCGAAUGGUUCUAGCCGACGAAAUCCAUUAAUUAUGUAGUGGUUUUACUUUUAUGAAACCAAGACUUUUUGAUUCGCAUACGUAUUAUAUUGCUUUUAAAUUGUUUCCUUAAAAUGAAGAUUUUUGAGGUAAUAUAAAGAUACAUUGUUA